rnacentral:tRNA from 1 species
GUGGUUUUAGUUUAAUAAAAACGUUUGCUUUGCAAGCAAUUAUUCUGAGUUAAAGUCUUAGAAACUACA